rnacentral:lncRNA from 1 species
GUGGGUUUAUAUGCGGGGUGUGGCACACGCGCUUUCUCGAGGACGGUGGUCGUUCCCUGCGCCUUUUCGAGCGAAAACUCACGGACCAACCCCUGCAGAGAGACAGAGAGGCAGCUAUUCUACAAUACGUUCCCUCACUGCCCCUCGGUGCAUGCAGCGAGCUCGCCGCGAGCUCGUCUCAAAUGGCUUUUUCAACUGGCUUACCGGACCAUCGACUCUUGUGAGACCCUUUUUCCGGAUGUCUUUCACCACACCCCUGCCAUCUCUGCCGCCUGCAAAGAAGUCACCUUCGUAGAUGAAGUUGUCAAACACCAUCACGCCUGUCCCGUGAGGCAGCCCCUCGUGAAGGCCCCCGACGUACGAAGUGAAGGGGACCGUAUCCCUCUCGACUCGCCUUUCCAUUUCCUUCGUGUCUUCGAACGAAACGCGCUCCAGAUCGAUCUUGCCGCUUGAGCAAGACGCGAAGCCGUCCUGCAGAAGGAGCGAAGACGGAGAGAGAGAAAAAACAUCAUCUGCCUGCGUUGUUGCAUGUGCGUGUGUAUCCUCUCGUGGCUGCUCUCUCCUCUGACGAGCGUUUAUCUACGGUGAAGGCAGACGCAGCAACCACAACUCUGCAUGUUUCUAGCAGACGCAGCGAGGGCGACACCACUCCACUGGUGCUCUCUCUGGCUGCUUCUAUGCUGAAUCCCCAGACCCACAUUGUGGAUCCAACCUCUGUCUCGAGUGAUUGUGGGAUGUCUGUCUGUAUUGCUUUUGUUGAUUGUGCGUCGCACCUUGAAUGUUGCAGCGAUGACUAUUUGAGUUCCUGGUGUUGGCCUCGGAAGUCGCAAAACGCCCUUGCCAUGCCGGAGACCGGCACGCCACUCGCCCUCGUAUUCUGCACCGGUGUGGAGGCUCCGAAUUUUGCCUCUUCCCUCUGCUCGGCCAUCCACGAAAGAGCCUUCGUAGACGAAAUGCUUGGUCCUUAGGCGACCUGCAAGAAGAGGUCAUGCAUGCAAAACACAGGGAAAAGUAUAUGGUCGAAAACGAGCAAAGGAUGAAAACACGAGUAAACAAUCCGUUAUUCUUCCAUCUGCUUUUCGGUUGAAGGUCACAGAAAAAUAAACGAUCGAGAAUGGAAGCAAACAUGGCAGAAAGGGCAAGAGUAAACAAUCCGUUCAUCCGGCAUCUACUGCUCCGCCCCUUCUGCUUCUCGUGCCCUUUUCUGUUGGUCUAGCUCCCUUACAACUUUUCCUUGUCUGCAUGUUUCUUCCCCGCCUUCUCUCACCUGCGAUGAGGCCAUUCAGGGCGUUCCCACCCAACGCUCUGAAGAACUCGGAGCCAUCAACGAAUCUGUUCACAGAAGUUUGAACGUAAGUCGUCGACAAUUACUGAAUCGAGAUGAGGUCACUGGGUGAGUCAUUAUUUGGGUAUAUAGAAAGAAGAGAUCUACCAAUCACAGGUGAAAGGGAUGCGGAACAGAAACGAAUGACCAGAAAAACGAGAACGCAUAGACACUGCAGACACAGAAUUACAGACCACUUCCCCCGGACAGUGAAUCAACAUUUAGCAAAGUGACGUAUCCUGUGUAACUCACACUCAAGACGGGUCAGUUUCUAGAUGCACUAGAGGGUCACAAAACGUUUCUUGUGAUAAUUGACUACCAAUUACAUCCAGACACAUAGGAAUCGUAUGGCGUCAAAUUGCCCAUUUCAGACAUCUGUUUUUUCCCACAGGGAUGCUCUGAGACCCAGGCGACAUGUGCAGCCACUCAUCAAGGACUCACAUCUACAUAUACACGUAUAUAUGUAUAUAUAGGAAUAUGCUGUAUACGUGUGCAUAUACGCGUAUUAAUACGCACAUAUUUAUACGUAAAUGUGUCCGUGGACGGCUGCAGUCUGUAAUGACCCUGUGAUGAAAAUCCAGUAACAAGUGGAGUCGCUUACUUGAUACGAGUAAAGGAUCGAUUAAGGCGAUCCCAAAGGGUUUGGCCUUCCGGGUCGAUGGACGGCCCAAGAAGUUUGUCCCACUUUGAACGAAAGGGCAGGUACUCGGCUUCGCGCUCCUUCGUGAUGCUUGGCUGCCUCUCCGAUGUCCUAAGAAGACAAACCAUAUCAGCGCACCACAGCCACACAUAGAGCAGAUCCACUCCUCAGUGAUAGAAG